rnacentral:rRNA from 1 species
UAAAAUAAUUAAGGGCACAUAGGGAAUGCCUAGGUAGUAAGAGCCGAUGAAGGACGUGGUAAGCUGCGAUAAGCUCAGGGUAGUUGCAAUCGAACGUUGAUCCUGAGAUUUCCGAAUGGAGCAAUCCGCUAAGUUGAAGACUUAGCACGAAAGAGGGUACCGCGUGAACUGAAACAUCUAAGUAACGCGAGGAAAAGAAAGUAAAAACGAUUCCCCAAGUAGCGGCGAGCGAACGGGGAUGAGCCCAAACCGCAUAAAUGCCAAGGAUGCAGCCGUUGUUUAUGCGGGGUUGUGGGAAGAACCACGAGGAACUGCAACGUACUCAACAAUGUUAAUGACUGAACUGGAACUAGUUGGAAAGCUAGAUCGUAGAAGGUGAUAAUCCUGUACAGGUAAACUCAUUAACUUGUCCGUUCUCUCCCAAGUAACAUGGAACACGAGGAAUUCUGUGUGAAUCUGCGAGGACCAUAUCUCGUAAGGCUAAAUACUCUUACUAACCGAUAGCGUAUAGUACCGUGAGGGAAAGGUGAAAAGAACCCCGGGAGGGGAGUGAAAGAGAACCUGAAACCCUGCACUUACAAGCUGUAGGAGCACAUUAUUUGUGUGACUGCGUACUUUUUGUAGAACGGGCCAACGAGUUACGUUGUGUAGCAAGGUUAAGCACUUAAGGUGUGGAGCCGUAGCGAAAGCGAGUCUUAAAUGGGCGUCCAGUUACCCGACGUAGACCCGAAACCAGGCGACCUAUCCAUGAGCAGGUUGAAGCGAAAGUAAAAUUUCGUGGAGGACCGAACCCACGUACGUUGAAAAGUGCGGGGAUGACUUGUGGAUAGCGGUGAAAUUCCAAUCGAGCCUGGAGAUAGCUGGUUCUCCCCGAAAUAGCUUUAGGGCUAGCCUCAAGCUUAGAGAAACGGAGGUAGAGCACUGAAUGUCCUAGGGGGUAUUGCACUUACCGAAGACUAUCAAACUCCGAAUGCCGUAUUCUUUUGCUUGGGAGUCAGACUAUGGGUGAUAAGAUUCAUAGUCAAGAGGGCAACAGCCCAGAUCGUCAGCUAAGGUCCCUAAAUGUAAGUUAAGUGGUAAAGGAUGUGGAAUUGCACAGACAACCAGGAUGUUGGCUUAGAAGCAGCCACUCAUUUAAAGAGUGCGUAAUAGCUCACUGGUCGAGUGAUUCUGCGCCGAAAAUUUCCGGGGCUAAAACUUACUACCGAAGCUACGGCAUCAUUAUGAUGGGUAGGGGAGCUUUCUAUGUGGCUUGAAGCAUGACCGUAAGGACAUGUGGACUGCAUAGAAGUGAGAAUGUUGGCAUGAGUAGCGAGAUGUGGGUGAGAAUCCCACAGGCCGUAAACCCAAGGUUUCCAGGGGAAGGUUCGUCCGCCCUGGGUUAGUCAGGACCUAAGCCGAGGCCGAAAGGCGUAGGUGAUGGACAACAGGUUGAUAUUCCUGUACCACCAAUAACCGUUUGAGAAAUGGGAUGACACAGUAGGAUAAGCUAACCGCACUGUUGGUUAUGUGCGGGCAAGUAUUGAGGCAGUUCCGAUAGGCAAAUCCGUCGGAAUAAUGCUGGGGUACGAUGCGGAGCGAAAUUUAGUAGCGAAGUAGCUGAUUUCACACUGUCGAGAAAAGUCUCUAUCGAGGUUAAAGGUGCCUGUACCGCAAACCGACACAGGUGGGUGAGGAGAGUAUCCUAAGGCCAGCGAGAGAACUGUUGUUAAGGAACUCGGCAAAAUGACCCCGUAACUUAGGGAGAAGGGGUGCCUUCGAAAGAAGGCCGCAGAGAAUAGGCCCAAGCGACUGUUUACCAAAAACAUAGGUUUCUGCUAAGUCGCAAGACGAUGUAUAGGAGCUGACGCCUGCCCGGUGCUGGAAGGUUAAGGGGAUCUGUUAGAGCAAUCGAAGCAGUGAACUUAAGCCCCAGUAAACGGCGGCCGUAACUAUAACGGUCCUAAGGUAGCGAAAUUCCUUGUCGGGUAAGUUCCGACCCGCACGAAAGGCGUAACGAUUUGGGCACUGUCUCAACAACAGACUCGGUGAAAUUGUAAUACCGGUGAAGAUGCCGGUUACCUGCGACAGGACGGAAAGACCCCAUGGAGCUUUACUGUAGCUUGACAUUGAGUCUCGGUGCUACAUGUACAGGAUAGGUGGGAGACUAUGAAGCAUGGACGUCAGUCUGUGUGGAGUCAUCCUUGGGAUACCACCCUUGUAGUACUGGGAUUCUAACCAGAGGCCAUGAAUCUGGUCUUGGGACACUGUCAGGUGGACAGUUUGACUGGGGCGGUCGCCUCCCAAAAAGUAACGGAGGCGCUCAAAGGUUCUCUCAGUACGGUCGGAAAUCGUACGAAGAGUGUAAAGGCAAAAGAGAGCUUGAUUGCAAGACAUACAGGUCGAGCAAGGACGAAAGUCGGACUUAGUGAUCCGGUGGUUCCGCAUGGAAGGGCCAUCGCUCAACGGAUAAAAGCUACCCUGGGGAUAACAGGCUUAUCUCCCCCAAGAGUUCACAUCGACGGGGAGGUUUGGCACCUCGAUGUCGGCUCAUCGCAUCCUGGGGCUG